rnacentral:lncRNA from 1 species
CAAUGAGGAGAACUGCAGUGCGUGUUUGAGCUGAUGGAAUACUCUCCCACCUGGGGCUUCAAUGAGCCUGACUGGUUUUACUGCUGACAGUAAAUUUGUCUUUCCUUUCCCCUGACAGGUGAGAAGCCAUCCUCUCUUGAAUGGGGGCUCCCACUGUACAUCUGGCACCCACUUCACAGAUUCUGGGGGAUGUCAACACCAGCACUGCUGAGCUGUGUGACCUUGAGCAAGACAGUUAGCCUCUCUGAACCUCAGUGUCCUUCUCUGUAGGCUGGAGAUUGAUAUACCUUCAUUAUCGGGGUAUGAGAGUGUUAUAAGGUGGGAUGGUGGAACACGCUGACUGGUCUGGGCUAUUCAAGAUCCAUGAACUGGAAGAUGCUUUCUUAUAACUCAGAGAAAAGAGAUGAAAAUGAAUCAAAGAACAGGAAGGAGACAAGCUCAGGAGUGUGAAAACGGAUUAAUACGGAUUCCAUUAGCAGAAGCAGUUUUGGUGGGAAAAAGAUGAAGGGUGAAGAGGACUUUUACCUUAAAACAAUGAAGAGUCACCCUAAGAAGGAUGUGUGGAAGACUUGACUGGAGGAUCAAAAUGUGUCGGGGGAAGGUGUACAAGGAGGAGUAAGGACACAGAUGUCCUGACUUCACACAGUGGGGGAUUAGAAGCCACCAUCAAACACAGAUGAAACAGGAAUAAAAGUAGUAGUACAUUACUUAAGCUUUAAAAGGGUAAGACUCCUGGGAAUUUGGAAGCUGAGACUUGAGGAGCAGAGGCAUUUAGCUGUGUAAACACAGAGCUUCAGUGGCAGCACCCUAAAUGCUUAGCUGAUAGAUCCGGAAUUAAAUACAGACCUAGAAACUGGAGUUGGAAAACUUCCUGGCAGCACUCCUUCCCUGCCAUCCCGGUGAUCCCCUUCUGGAUGGAGGGUGUGGAGCUCAGCACAUUCACGUCUGCAGGUUUAUGAUCAACUUUGAAUUAAUUUUGAUGAAAAGUGUAAGGUCAACUCUCCACCUUCCCACCCACUCUGUGCCUGGAAGGGUGACUCCUCUGGCCACCUCUGGCUUCUUGCUUGGUGUGAUCAAAGGAGACUGGAGGAUGCAAGGAGAGUGAAGCGGCUUGUUGGAUUUUGCUUGGCAUGGAAUUGAAUCAAUAGAUCAAUUUGGGAAGAAAUGACAUCUUGGAAGUAUUGAGAAUUUCAAUUCAUGAA